rnacentral:rRNA from 1 species
GACGAACGCUGGCGGCGUGCCUAAUACAUGCAAGUAGAACGCACAGUUUAUACCGUAGCUUGCUACACCAUAGACUGUGAGUUGCGAACGGGUGAGUAACGCGUAGGUAACCUGCCUAGUAGCGGGGGAUAACUAUUGGAAACGAUAGCUAAUACCGCAUAAUAUUAAUUAUUGCAUGAUAAUUAAUUGAAAGGUGCAAUUGCACCACUACCAGAUGGACCUGCGUUGUAUUAGCUAGUAGGUGAGGUAACGGCUCACCUAGGCGACGAUACAUAGCCGACCUGGAAGGGGGAUCGGCCCAACUGGGACUGAGACACGGCCCAGACUCCUACGGGAGGCAGCAGUAGGGAAUCUUCGGCAAUGGACGAAAGUCUGACCGAGCAACGCCGCGUGAGUGAAGAAGGUUUUCGGAUCGUAAAGCUCUGUUGUAAGAGAAGAACGGGUGUGAGAGUGGAAAGUUCACACUGUGACGGUAUCUUACCAGAAAGGGACGGCUAACUACGUG